rnacentral:rRNA from 1 species
GGAGUGGCCGAUGCCUGAUUAGCUAGUUGGUGGGGUAAUGGCCUACCAAGGCGACGAUCAGUAGUUGGUCUGAGAGGACGACCAGCCACACUGGGACUGAGACACGGCCCAGACUCCUACGGGAGGCAGCAGUGGGGAAUUUUGGACAAUGGGCGAAAGCCUGAUCCAGCAAUGCCGCGUGAGUGAAGAAGGCCUUCGGGUUGUAAAGCUCUUUCAGUCGAGAAGAAAAGGUUGUGACUAAUAAUCACAACUCAUGACGGUAUCGACAGAAGAAGCACCGGCUAACUACGUGCCAGCAGCCGCGGUAAUACGUAGGGUGCGAGCGUUAAUCGGAAUUACUGGGCGUAAAGGGUGCGCAGGUGGCUUUGUAAGUCAGAUGUGAAAUCCCCGGG